UCCUUAACAGUCCAGUGGUCAAGACUCUGCACGUCCAAUGUGAAGGACCCAGGUUCAAUCCCUGGUUGGGGAA
rnacentral:tRNA from 1 species